UCGAACGGAAAGGCCCUGCUUGCAGGGUACUCGAGUGGCGAACGGGUGAGUAACACGUGGGUGAUCUGCCCUGCACUUCGGGAUAAGCUUGGGAAACUGGGUCUAAUACCGGAUAGGAGCCAUCUUUAGUGUGGUGGUUGGAAAGUUUUUUCGGUGUAGGAUGAGCUCGCGGCCUAUCAGCUUGUUGGUGGGGUAAUGGCCUACCAAGGCGGCGACGGGUAGCCGGCCUGAGAGGGUGUACGGCCACAUUGGGACUGAGAUACGGCCCAGACUCCUACGGGAGGCAGCAGUGGGGAAUAUUGCACAAUGGGCGCAAGCCUGAUGCAGCGACGCCGCGUGGGGGAUGAAGGCCUUCGGGUUGUAAACUCCUUUCGCUAGGGACGAAGCUUUGUUGUGACGGUACCUAGAUAAGAAGCACCGGCUAACUACGUGCCAGCAGCCGCGGUAAUACGUAGGGUGCGAGCGUUGUCCGGAAUUACUGGGCGUAAAGGGCUCGUAGGUGGUUUGUCGCGUCGUCUGUGAAAUUCUGGGGCUUAACUCCGGGCGUGCAGGCGAUACGGGCAUAACUUGAGUGCUGUAGGGGUAACUGGAAUUCCUGGUGUAGCGGUGAAAUGCGCAGAUAUCAGGAGGAACACCGAUGGCGAAGGCAGGUCACUGG
rnacentral:rRNA from 1 species